rnacentral:rRNA from 1 species
AAAGGGAAUCCGGUUCCUAUUCCGGAACCCGGCAGCGGAACCGUUUACAAGUCGGGCCCUCGCAAGAGAGUUCGUCGGGGUAACCCAAAAUGACCUGGAGACGCCGUCGGGAGAUACGGGGAGAGUUUUCUUUUCUGUAUGAGCGUUCGAGUUCCCUGGAAUCCUCUAGCAGGGAGAUAGGGUUUGGAACGCGAAGAGCACGCAGUUGCGGCGGUGUCCGUAUCUUCCCCUCGGACCUUGAAAAUCCAGGAGAGGGCCACGGGAGGUGUCGCGCCGGUUCGUACCCAUAUCCGCAGCAGGUCUCCA